CCGAGCUUGGUUUGUAGUUGUUUCUGCUAGACUGAAACCUGAUACUAUGAACUCUUGUAGCUUUUUAAGCCUCUAAUUCUUUUACUACCUUGAGUAAACAUACAGAUUACUCCUUCUCUCGGAACGACAGAGAGAGAGAGAGACAAUUAACAUAGAGAAAACAUCAUAGAACCACCAAUGCAACAGUGAGGAAAAGAGUUAAGUUUUAAAUAAGAGAGAGAGAAUAAGAAGAUGCUUAAUAGCUGAAAUAUCUUUUUGUUAAAGCUAUGGAGAUGGACAAUAAUCAUAUAAGAGACUCCUGUAAUUCAUGAUGAGAGUAUUGGGAGGAAUAGAGUAUUCAAAGUGUGGGUUUUGAGCAAAAGAGACACUGUGAGUUGCUGGAAUCAAGUAGAGUGAAGAUUUUGAGGCCUUGGGGGCAAAGAGAAACUGUUUUCCAGGAGAGCUCACAGAAACAGAUGAAGAGGACUUCUGCCUUUGAAUAACUCAUCCUUAAAAAUGAAAUCCCAAGACUUUAGUGACCCAUGCACACCUCGGAGAGAUGUGAGAUGGGAGGAGAAGAUCUAAUGACAGAUUUCCGGGCAGCUGGCAUUAGAGAAAUAGAAAACUAUGACAAAAAUAGUUUUCUGGUGAGGAACUCCAUAGAUUGGCAGAAAGAGACUUCUGUUUCUCUAUAAAGACUGAUGAAAAGACUCUAACAAAAAUUGAGACUGUUUUUAGCCACCAAAGUUCUAAAGUUAUUUGUCUCUAUGUUAUCAUGUCAUGUGUACAAAGAAAUGGUCAAAAAUGUAAAAGAAGGGGUUUUCUGGAAAUUUACUCUAGUGUUCUUAUUCUUGUAGUCUGUUAAUAAACUGUCUUUAUUCCUUUUAAGUUUUAAGCCUGUUUUGCUCUUGUUUUAAUCCAUAUCUCACAACAAGAAAUAAGUAAUUUCUUUAGUUACUGGUUUAAAACCACGACACUGGGGAAUGCAGAAUGCUUUUGGAUUUGCCUGUCUAUAAGUGGUUCUGUGAAGAGAACAUAACAACAUAAGCUUUGUGAAGCUCCCAAAAAUGCGAAAAGAAUGUUGUGCUGUAUCUCAUUUCUAUGUAAAAUUAAUGAAAAUAAAGCAAUGCACUUCCAAUGCAUAAUGAAUAACCAUGUCAAACUGUAUCAACUUUUUCAGACUUUCCCUCUAGAGGGCUUUUAAAUGAGGUCAACAGCACACGUAUCUUUACAUUUGAUCUGAGUGGGAGCAGCACACAGUAACAGAGCUUGGCCAUGCAAAGUGCAGUAACAAGCUCUUCUCAAUUCUGGUGAUGAAAAAUAGAAUACUAAAUACAACCCUUGUAUUUGUACGAGAUAUGGACUUCACAGAUUCAGUUAUGGAGAGAACACAGGACUGUGAGUAGAGAUACACAGUCCUCAUUAACAAUGCUGAAAAGAUCAAUGUUAGCUAAGCACAAGAAUGACAACCCCAUAUGUCAGAUUCAGUAGGACUAACAACACGUGCCUGCUGAGGGGGAAUAUUAUUCCUUAGAGAAGUUUCAAAGAAUCAGGCUAAAUGCUCAUGUUCUACCUUAGAAAAUAAUAAUUAUGAUUCUAUCUUAACAGAAAACAGCAUCAGUAUGGUCACAAAAAGUAAAAGGCAGCACUAAUUAAGUAAAAUUACUACAACAGCUCAUGUUCCAUUUUCCUGGUUGGCAGCUGACCAGAUCAGCACAGCGCAGCUCAAUAUUGUAUGUUUUAGUCCUGGUCCAUGCCAUGCAAAGACACUAUUUCUUGUCUAUGACAGACCACAUGUACCAGAAGUACAAUAAUAUACAGCAAAUGUGUUGCAUAACUCAGACUCUUCUGUUCUGUGCUUAAAAUAAAUCAACUACUGUUUCAUUACUUUAAUAAAUGUGCUUUUAUUAUAGAAGAGAAAAAUUCUAUAGAAUAAAUUAUUGGUAGUGUUCUGGAGAUCUCUCUUAGCCCUGGAAUCUCCUGCUUGAUUUUUCACUAAAUCUGUUAAUCCUUCUUUAUCCCCAGCAGCCUCACAUUGGUAUGUCCCAGGGAAGUGACAGAUAUCGGAGUAUUGGAGAUCCUUCCCAGACACUCCAAGGAUCUAUCUCCUCUGCACUGCUUUCCCAGGCUUUCCUGGCUGUUUCACAACCUCCAUUUAGAACUUACUGUGUCAUCUUUGCUCCUGAGAGGCUGCAAUGUAGUGGCCAUGGAUAAAGCAGCAACCAAGCAGCUGCAGGCUUGCUGUGCACAGAUGGAGGACAUAAGCACUGACAGUGGUCUCAUAGGCAGUGUCACAGAAAAUGCCAAGAAUCAAAUCCACAUCUUCAAAGUGUUAUUCUAAUAUUUUAAAAUCAAGGAAAUUACUUUUAUAGAUAUAUUACAGCUUUUUUAUUAUUGUUAUUAUUUGAAUAUUUCCCUUUGCCAAAUGUUCUCUGCCUCUAAAAUGUUCUAACUGGAGUGGGAAUGCUUUUAUUUAACUGGAAAUUAAUCAUUAUUUUUCAUUAAUCAGUACAUUUUGUGAAGUUCAAAGCAAAAAGGUUAUACUUCCAUGAA